rnacentral:rRNA from 1 species
GAUGAACGCUAGCGGCAGGCUUAAUACAUGCAAGUCGAGGGGCAGCAUGACUGUAGCAAUACAGUUGAUGGCGACCGGCAAACGGGUGCGGAACACGUACGCAACCUACCCAAAACUGAUGAAUAGCCCUCCGAAAGGAGGAUUAAUACAUCGUAACAUAGUUGAAUGGCAUCAUUUGAUUAUUAUAGCUCCGGUGAUUUUGGAUGGGCGUGCGCCUGAUUAGGUAGUUGGUAGGGUAACGGCCUACCAAGCCAACGAUCAGUAACUGGUGUGAGAGCACGACCAGUCACAC